rnacentral:rRNA from 1 species
AUUGAACGCUGGCGGCAGGCUUAACACAUGCAAGUCGAGCGGGGUGAUGGUGCUUGCACUAUCACUUAGCGGCGGACGGGUGAGUAAUGCUUAGGAAUCUGCCUAUUAGUGGGGGACAACAUCUCGAAAGGGAUGCUAAUACCGCAUACGUCCUACGGGAGAAAGCAGGGGAUCACUUGUGACCUUGCGCUAAUAGAUGAGCCUAAGUCGGAUUAGCUAGUUGGUGGGGUAAAGGCCUACCAAGGCGACGAUCUGUAGCGGGUCUGAGAGGAUGAUCCGCCACACUGGGACUUAAACACGGCCCAGACUCCUACGGGAGGCAGCAGUGGGGAAUAUUGGACAAUGGGGGGAACCCUGAUCCAGCCAUGCCGCGUGUGUGAAGAAGGCCUUAUGGUUGUAAAGCACUUUAAGCGAGGAGGAGGCUCUUUUGGUUAAUACCCAAGAUGAGUGGACGUUACUCGCAGAAUAAGCACCGGCUAACUCUGUGCCAGCCGCCGCAGUAA